AUUGAACGCUGGCGGCAGGCCUAACACAUGCAAGUCGAGCGGAUGAGAGGAGCUUGCUUCUCGAUUCAGCGGCGGACGGGUGAGUAAUGCCUAGGAAUCUGCCUGGUAGUGGGGGACAACGUUUCGAAAGGAACGCUAAUACCGCAUACGUCCUACGGGAGAAAGCAGGGGACCUUCGGGCCUUGCGCUAUCAGAUGAGCCUAGGUCGAAUUAGCUAGUUGGUGAGGUAAUGGCUCACCAAGGCGACGAUCCGUAACUGGUCUGAGAGGAUGAUCAGUCACACUGGAACUGAGACACGGUCCGGACUCCUACGGGAGGCAGCAGUGGGGAAUAUUGGACAAUGGGCGAAAGCCUGAUCCAGCCAUGCCGCGUGUGUGAAGAAGGUCUUCGGAUUGUAAAGCACUUUAAGUUGGGAGGAAGGGUUGUAGAUUAAUACUCUGCAAUUUUGACGUUACCGACAGAAUAAGCACCGGCUAACUCUGUGCCAGCCGCCGCGGUAAGAC
rnacentral:rRNA from 1 species